GACGAACGCUGGCGGCGUGCCUAAUACAUGCAAGUCGAGCGGACUGAUUAAGAGCUUGCUCCUAUGACGUUAGCGGCGGACGGGUGAGUAACACGUGGGCAACCUGCCCUGUAGAUCGGGAUAACACCGAGAAAUCGGUGCUAAUACCGGGUAAUAUCUGAGAUCACAUGAUCUUAGGUUAAAAGAUGGCUCCGGCUAUCACUACAGGAUGGGCCCGCGGCGCAUUAGCUAGUUGGUAAGGUAAUGGCUUACCAAGGCGACGAUGCGUAGCCGACCUGAGAGGGUGAUCGGCCACACUGGGACUGAGACACGGCCCAGACUCCUACGGGAGGCAGCAGUAGGGAAUCUUCCGCAAUGGACGAAAGUCUGACGGAGCAACGCCGCGUGAGUGAUGAAGGGUUUCGGCUCGUAAAGCUCUGUUGUUAGGGAAGAAACAGUACCGAACGAACUAGGUCGGUACCUUGACGGUACCUAACCAGAAAGCCACGGCUAACUACGUG
rnacentral:rRNA from 1 species